rnacentral:rRNA from 1 species
GUGGGGAAUAUUGGACAAUGGGCGAAAGCCUGAUCCAGCAAUGCCGCGUGAGUGAUGAAGGCCCUAGGGUUGUAAAGCUCUUUUACCCGGGAUGAUAAUGACAGUACCGGGAGAAUAAGCUCCGGCUAACUCCGUGCCAGCAGCCGCAGUAAUACGGAGGGAGCUAGCGUUGUUCGGAAUUACUGGGCGUAAAGCGCGCGUAGGCGGUUUUCCAAGUCAGGGGUGAAAGCCCGGGGCUCAACCCCGGAAUAGCCCUUGAAACUGGAAGACUAGAAUCUUGGAGAGGUCAGUGGAAUUCCGAGUGUAGAGGUGAAAUUCGUAGAUAUUCGGAAGAACACCAGUGGCGAAGGCGACUGACUGGACAAGUAUUGACGCUGAGGUGCGAAAGCGUGGGGAGCAAACAGGAUUAGAUACCCUAGUAGUCC